rnacentral:lncRNA from 1 species
AUUUAUAUGAAAACCUGCACACCCUUCUUCCUCAUGUAAUCCUUCUUUUCUUAACUGUAUUUUUUCUAAAGGACGUAAAUAAGGACUGUCCCAACAAAACCAUUCAUCAUAUCUGUGGUUCCACCGUUUGAAAUGGAUAAGUACUUUUCCUUCCUCAUAAUCAAUUUCUUCAAUGUGAGCUGGAUACCAGUUUUUUAAUCUGUCACGGGCUUCCAACUGGGCUCCCACCUCAAAGUUGAUCCCUCUUCUAUUCGGAGGAUGUUUUGUCAUUUUGUAAUAUCAACACUGCUGAUUUUAUUCCCCCAAUUCACCCCCUACAACAUGCUUGCCCCCAUCAGGGAUGGUCAGUGCAGAGAAGUCC